rnacentral:rRNA from 1 species
AUGAGGAUUGAGGCCAUGGGAUCCCUUGCUAAAAUUGAGAGGGAGGGAGGGAAAGGGUAUCCUUCUGCAGGACUGUGCGGACCUUGUUCAGUUCAUGAUGCAUUGCCUCAUUCAGUUUCUGCUAUGUUCUUAAACUGUUCUUCUUUUCAUGUACUAAUCUCCUUUUGUCUACACUCUGUCAGGCUGCAACAGCCUAGGUUUCUAUUUUCUAUCUGGGCUCCACUGGCAGUAGUAGGAUGCUCAUUGGCAACCCAAGGUGUGUAUGCCCCUACUUCCCCAAGUAUUAAUGAAUUUUCCAUUCAACUUUCUAAAGAUUAUUGUUCACAGAUGUGUGCUGUUGUGAAGCAUGUAGCACCACUUCUCCUGACUACUAUAAUCAGUGGAAGAUCUCAUGACAUGGCGUCAUGGUCUCAUGGAAUGGACAUCAUGGGGCUUAUUAGGAACUCUGAGUUCAGCGGGCACCAUGCCGAAAGAUAUGGGCUUGGUUAUGCACUGAAUCAUUAUGGAGGAUCUCAGGGGGAAGAUGAUGUUUCAUAUGCUAGACUUAAGGAAGGAUUGUUAGGAGCCCAUCUCUUUUGCAGCAAGCCCUGCAGAAAGAGAGCUAGAUAUAAUGUUUUGCUUUGUGGUGAGAAGAGGAUAGAGAUACCCAAUAGCCGUGGGGAUCAGAGAUUAGGUGAGGUCACAUUGUUUGUCUCGGCUUUACAAUACAUAUCUCUACUCCUAAUGGAGCAGCUGGAAAAUAAAAGCCAAGAGAAGUAUGAAUCCGAACAUGAUCCCCUCUGUCCUCCUCCCACGACGCGCGUCAGGGGAGAAACCCUAGCGCCGCCGCUGCCGGGACCCCCUCCUCCUCCCCUUCUCCCCUUCCCUGCCGCCGCCUGCGAGCAAGGCCGGGCGAAGCCCGGUCGGCUCCAGCGAUGUGUGUGUGGAGGGGGUCUUCCCUUCACCGUGUGGCCGCGUGUGGCGCAGGAUGGCAUGGCCGGCGAAGGCGCGGGUGGCUGCGAUGUUGCCAACGGCUGCGUUUGUGCGCGCCCAGAUCUGGCAGCGGCUGUGCCCGUGGGUUGCGCUAGCUUAGCUGUUUCCUAUGUGGCUCGGCACGCGCGGGAGCUCGGCAGGCGGCGGCUUGGGUCGCCGUUACACCUCGCCGUCCGGCUGUGUGGUCACUGGUGGUGGAUAGCGGCCGCUGGGAUGGAUCCGACGCCGGGAGGGCCACGGAACCAUCCUUGCCUCCUAUUAGGUGGCACACCGGGGAGCUCGUCCUUGCACGGCCUGGCAGGACGGGGCGGUGGCGACCGAGUGCGGCCGGCCCGGGGGUGGGCUCGGACCUGGGGACCGUCGAAGGGCAGGGAAGAAGGUGCCUUCCCGCUCGUCUCUUUGCCUGUCAUGGCUGCAAGCUUCGGUAGGGGAUGGUGUCGGGACCAUGGGUGUUGGGGCGGCGGCCCUGGAGGUGGGAGGCGUGGGCUCAUGGGCGAAGCUCACGGCUCGGGGGCUGUGAGGACUUCCCGGGUUGAAAACCUGCUUUGGCUCUGCCAAGCCGCAGACGACAUCACCUAUGGGUGGCGCCUCCUUCUUGAAGGCUUCGUCGCGGCUCCUCUACAUGCUCCGAUUGCUCCGAAGGAAACCUUGAUCUUGGGAUCGGGCGGUGGCGAUACUCCUGUGUCUGACUCGCUCACGGUUGAGGUCUCCGGAGACUACAAGUGGUGCUAUCCCUGCCUACAUGUAGUUGCUUGGAGUGGAGGGGGUGAUCUAGCAGUUCAUAUACACCCUUGUAUCUUGCCUUUUAAAUUUGCUAGCAAGAAAGUUACACUGAUAGAGAACGGCGGCAUUGUAAAUACCAUCUUAACAACUGAAGAAGCAGGCUUCAUGAUCUGGGCAUUGGGGUCAGGACGCCCAUAUCUUGCGUCGGAAGAUGUAUAUGGAGCAUUAGAGACAUUAGCGCCUGUGUUAGACAUUAGCUCCGAGGCGAUUGUUUAG